AGAGUUUGAUCCUGGCUCAGGACGAACGCUGGCGGCGUGCCUAAUACAUGCAAGUCGAACGCACUGACGGAGAACUUGUUCUCUUGACGUGAGUGGCGCACGGGUGAGUAACACGUGGGAAACCUACCCUUCAGCGGGGGAUAACCAUCGGAAACGAUGACUAAUACCGCAUAGACGACAGAACCGCCUGGUUCAAUCGGGAAAGACGGCUUCGGCUGUCACUGAAGGAUGGUCCCGCGCUGCAUUAGCUAGUUGGUAAGGUAACGGCUUACCAAGGCGAUGAUGCAUAGCCGACCUGAGAGGGUGAUCGGCCACAUUGGGACUGAGACACGGCCCAAACUCCUACGGGAGGCAGCAGUAGGGAAUCUUCCGCAAUGGACGCAAGUCUGACGGAGCAACGCCGCGUGUGUGAAGAAGGUUUUCGGAUCGUAAAGCACUGUUAUUAGAGAAGAACAGCCGAUAGAGUAACUGUUAUCGGUUUGACGGUAUCUAACCAGAAAGUGACGGCUAACUACGUGCCAGCAGCCGCGGUAAUACGUAGGUCACAAGCGUUGUCCGGAUUUAUUGGGCGUAAAGGGAGCGCAGGCGGUUUGUUAAGUCUGAUGUGAAAGCCCACGGCUCAACCGUGGAACGGCAUUGGAAACUGGCAAACUUGAGUAUAGAAGAGGAAAGUGGAAUUCCAUGUGUAGCGGUGAAAUGCGUAGAUAUAUGGAGGAACACCAGUGGCGAAGGCGACUUUCUGGUCUAUAACUGACGCUGAGGCUCGAAAGCGUGGGGAGCGAACAGGAUUAGAUACCCUGGUAGUCCACGCCGUAAACGAUGAGUGUUAAGUGUUGGGGGGCUUCCACCCCUCAGUGCUGGCGUUAACGCAAUAAACACUCCGCCUGGGG
rnacentral:rRNA from 1 species